GACGAACCGUGCGAACGUUGUUCGGAUUCACUGGGCUUAAAGGGCGCGUAGGCGGACCCGCCAGUCUGGGGUGAAAUCGUUCGGCUUAACCGGACCAUUGCCUUGGAUACUGCGGGUCUCGAGGGAGGUAGGGGCAUGCGGAACUUCCGGUGGAGCGGUGAAAUGCGUUGAUAUCGGAAGGAACUCCGGUGGCGAAAGCGGCGUGCUGGAUCUCUUCUGACGCUGAGGCGCGAAAGCUAGGGGAGCAAACGGG
rnacentral:rRNA from 2 species